AUGCGGCGGCGCAAACUGCCGCCGCCCGGCGGUCCUAUUGAGAGGAGGAGGAGGAAGUUGGAGUUGGAGGAGCAUGAACCUCCGCCUGUUGACCUCAUCAGCACUCUCCCCGACGAGCUCCUCGGCGAGAUCAUCUCCCUCCUCCAAAUUAAGGACGCCGCCCGCACCCAGAUCCUAGCUUCCCGGUGGCGCCGCCUCUGGCGCUCCACCCCCCUCAACCUCGACUGCUGUCAUUUGUUCUCCAUCAAGGACGAAGACAUGUCCUAUCUCUGCCCAUCGCUCGUCCUUUCAGCCCACCCGGGCCCCGGCCGCCGCUUUUGCCUCACGACGAACUCCUCAAUGACUACCCCUACCUUGGACCACUGGCUUCGGUCCGCCGCUCUGGAUAACCUACAGGAGCUUGAGUUCGCCCGCCACGGGUUCACCUCCCCAGUGCCGGCAUCAAUCUCCCACUUUGCACACAGCCUCCGUGUCGCAAACAUCAGGCACUGCACGCUCCAGGACGCCGCCGUCCAAGGGCUUCAUUUUCCCCAGCUUAAGCAGCUCGGGCUCGAAUGUGUCCACGUCUCGGAGUCCUCGGUGCACCGCCUGAUCGCCGGAUGCCCCGCACUAGAGUUCUUGCUGAUCCUCAGUAGCUCCGGCUUCCACAGCCUCCGGAUCAACUCCCUCAGCCUUAGAAAAUUAUGCAUACGCACCUCCGGAUCAACUCAGCCCCAGUUCGGGGAACUCAUCAUUGAAAACGCCCCUCGUCUUGAGAGCUUGAUUCAUCUGUAUAAGAUUUGGAGGAUCGGUGAUCUGUCCGUAUACACCGCGCCUAAAGUGGACGCCUUGGACUUCCUUGCUGAUUUGAAAGGAUUUCGUCAGGGCACGUCAUCGCAUGUUAACUUUGCCACAUUCUUUCUACUGAACGCGAGAAUGCUGGAGCUGAUGACAUUUCAUAUCGAGGCCAGUAUUUACAGCGACGAGUUCUUGGUAGAACAACGUAAGAGGCUUCAGCUAGAUAACAGGGCUUCAAGAGGUGCUCGGAUUCGUUUUACAACUGCUAGCGGUCAACAUGCUGUUUGGAGCACCAAGCAUCUCGGCGAGUUUGACUUGAAUGAUGAUCCUUUCACAUGUAGAUGUUGA
rnacentral:rRNA from 1 species